rnacentral:rRNA from 1 species
CCUGGAUCAGUGGCGAACGGGUGAGUAACACGUGAGCAAUCUGCCCUUGACUCUGGGAUAAGCGUUGGAAACGACGUCUAAUACCGGAUACGACCCUCGGAGGCAUCUCCUGGGGGUGGAAAGAAUUUUGGUCAAGGAUGAGCUCGCGGCCUAUCAGCUUGUUGGUGAGGUAAUGGCUCACCAAGGCGACGACGGGUAGCCGGCCUGAGAGGGUGACCGGCCACACUGGGACUGAGACACGGCCCAGACUCCUACGGGAGGCAGCAGUGGGGAAUAUUGCACAAUGGGCGCAAGCCUGAUGCAGCAACGCCGCGUGAGGGACGACGGCCUUCGGGUUGUAAACCUCUUUUAGUAGGGAAGAAGCGAAAGUGACGGUACCUGCAGAAAAAGCACCGGCUAACUACGUGCCAGCAGCCGCGGUAAUACGUAGGGUGCAAGCGUUGUCCGGAAUUAUUGGGCGUAAAGAGCUCGUAGGCGGUUUGUCGCGUCUGCUGUGAAAACCCGAGGCUCAACCUCGGGCCUGCAGUGGGUACGGGCAGACUAGAGUGCGGUAGGGGAGAUUGGAAUUCCUGGUGUAGCGGUGGAAUGCGCAGAUAUCAGGAGGAACACCGAUGGCGAAGGCAGAUCUCUGGGCCGUAACUGACGCUGAGGAGCGAAAGCAUGGGGAGCGAACAGGAUUAGAUACCCUGGUAGUCCAUGCCGUAAACGUUGGGAACUAGAUGUGGGGACCAUUCCACGGUCUCCGUGUCGCAGCUAACGCAUUAAGUUCCCCGCCUGGGGAGUACGGCCGCAAGGCUAAAACUCAAAGGAAUUGACGGGGGCCCGCACAAGCGGCGGAGCAUGCGGAUUAAUUCGAUGCAACGCGAAGAACCUUACCAAGGCUUGACAUAUACCGGAAACGUCUGGAAACAGUCGCCCCGCAAGGUCGGUAUACAGGUGGUGCAUGGUUGUCGUCAGCUCGUGUCGUGAGAUGUUGGGUUAAGUCCCGCAACGAGCGCAACCCUCGUCCUAUGUUGCCAGCACGUAAUGGUGGGAACUCAUGGGAUACUGCCGGGGUCAACUCGGAGGAAGGUGGGGAUGACGUCAAAUCAUCAUGCCCCUUAUGUCUUGGGCUUCACGCAUGCUACAAUGGCCGGUACAAAGGGCUGCGAUACCGUAAGGUGGAGCGAAUCCCAAAAAGCCGGUCUCAGUUCGGAUUGAGGUCUGCAACUCGACCUCAUGAAGUCGGAGUCGCUAGUAAUCGCAGAUCAGCAACGCUGCGGUGAAUACGUUCCCGGGCCUUGUACACACCGCCCGUCAAGUCAUGAAAGUCGGUAACACCC